rnacentral:lncRNA from 10 species
CAAAAGUAAGAGAAAUUUAAAAAAGUGUAACAUAUCAAAAUGUGGAAAUUUCUGUGUUUAGGGAAAAAUCUAUCCCAUUAAGAGCUUGCAUUAGAAAAGAAAAAUUACCUUGAAAUUAUGAUGAAAGCUUCCAGCUUGUUAUUAUAAAAAUGAGAACAAAUUAAUUCUGAAGCAAUCAGAAGGAAGAAAAUAAUAAAGGUUAAUGAAGAAAUAAACAACAUUAAAUGGAGAAAAAUUAUAUAGCUAAGUAAAUUAAACUAAACUUAGAUCUUUGAAGGGAUCAAUAAAAUUGUUAAAUCUCUGGCCAGACUAAGGAGAAAAUAAUAGGAAAUAAAUAAUUUACAAAUUUUAAGAAUGAUAGAAGUGGCUGGGGGUGGUGGCUCAUGCCUGUAAUCCCAGCACUUUGGGAGGCCAAGGCAGGCAGAUCGUUUGAGGUCAGGAGUUCCAGACCAGCCUGGCCAACAUAGUGAAUCUCUGUCUCUACUAAAAAUACAAAAAUUAGCCGAACGUGAUGGCUCAUGCCUAUAUUCCCAGCUACUCGAGAGGCUGAGGCACAAGAAUUGCUUGAAGCUGGGAGGUGGAAUUUGCAGUGAGUGGAGAUCAGGCCACUGCACUCAAGCCCGGGCGACAGAACGGGACUCUGUCUCAAAACAAAUAAACAAAAAAAAAAGAAUGAUAGAAGUAACAUUUCCAUUGUCCUACAACAGUUUAAGGAUAACUAAAUGAAUACCAUGAUGAAAUUUAUAAAUGUAAAUUAGUUAAUUUAGAUUAAAUGUACAAAUCCCUCAAAAGAGACUAACUACUAAGGCAAACUCAAAAAGAAAGCAAUAACAUGAACAUCCCUAUAUAUAUGUUUUAAAUUUAUUAAUACCCACCUAGAUAAACUAACUGACAAAUUUUACUAAUAUUUAAGGAGAUAUAAUUUAUACUUUACACAAAACUUUAAGAAAUAAAAAAGAGGAAACACUUUUCAACAUGUUUUAUUAGUCUACCAUUAUCCCCAUACCAAAACCUUAAAAAAGACAUUACAAGAAAAUGUCCUGUAGACAAAUAUGUAUUUAGAUGAGGAAUUUAGAUUUCAAAAACUUCAGCAAACUAUUAUCCAAUUAAAUCCUCUCAUGUCUGUGUGUGUAUGUGUGUGCAUGCAUGUGUGUUUGUAAAAUAUAUCAUUACUAAUUGGCGUUUAUCUUGGGAGUUCAAGAUGGUUUCCAUAUUCAAUCAACCCAUCAAUGUGGACUAUGGUCAUUUGAAAAGACCAGCAAAUCCUCUACACAAAAGGCCACUAUAAAUUCAUUAAAACAGCCUUCCAUCACUCUCGAAAUUGACCAAAGCAUUCAACUACCUGAAAAAUAUUUAUGUUUGGAAAGCUAUUGAAAUGCAGUUAAAAAUAUCAGGAAACCUGUUUUUACGUUUUGUCCUGAUCUUGCUAAAUCCUUCUUAAUUUUGUGAGACACUGCUUCUCCUUCCACUGUUCCUUUACUUUCUCCUUCCCCUUUGUUUUUGCCUCCCCCUUCCUCUCCCUUUUCUACAUUCCUUCUCUCUCCUAAAUGCUGUAUAAAUUUCUACAUAUAUAAUCAUAUUAUUUACAAAUAGGAACAGUUUUACUUAUUUCUUUCCAAUCUGCAUUUAUUUUAUUCUCCCUUUUUUUCCUUACACACUGGAUAGAACUCUAAGUAUUAUGUUGAAAAAGAGUGAUAAAAGCAAACAUUUUUGCUUUAUUCCUGAGCAUACAUGUGGAAAACAUUCAGUGUUUCACAGCUAAAUAUGAUGGAUUUUUUUGUAUGCUCUUUAUCAAGAUGAAGGAAUUUUCUGCUAUUUCUGGUUUGCUGAAUUUUUAUCACAAGUAACUGUUGAAUAUUGUCUUUUUCCCCUGCAUUUAUUGAAAUGAUCAUGUGUUUUCCUAUUUUAGAAUAUUAAUAUGGUGAACUAUAUUAUUAGAUUUUUUUAAAUAUUGAAACUGUCUUGCAUUUCUGGAAUAAACACGGCUUGGUCAUGUGUGUCACUUUUUUACAUAGUGUCGUAUUCAAGUUAUUGAGGAUUUUGCAUCUAGGGUAUACUUGUAGAUUUGCAGAUUUGCAUCUAGGUUAUGUUGGUCUAAAGUUUUGUUUGUUUUUUUUCCUUUUCUUUUUUUAUCAUCUUUGUCUUAUUCUGUUUAAGUGUCAUGCUUGCUUCAUAAAAUGAAUUGAGAAACAUUUCUUCCUCUUCUGUUUCUCGAAAAUUGUAGAGAACUCUUGUUUUUUGUUGUUGUUUGUUUGUUGUUUUGUUUUUUUCUUAUUUUUAUCCUCAUACUGAGAACCAAAUAGUCUGGAGUGUAAAAUAUGGUUCCUCAUUCCAGUUAAGUCUAGUACACAAUGACAACAACCAUCUUGGGUUAAGCAUUGGCCUACAAACAGAAAAAAACCUUCAGGGAGAUAGAUGCUGAUCUAGGCAUUGUGAGAAAAGCUGAAUUCAUUUUUAAUCAUGAAUGGCUUUUAAGGAAAGAAGAUUUAUUAACUAAAAUAAAUAGAUUAGAGGGAAUUCUCAUCUAUGAGAGAGGAAGGGAUGGGAUUCAACCUGGAAAAAAUGAUGAAGUUUUAGUGAACUGGGUAAGGUAGACUCAACAAUUAAUGAUGGAUAAUGCUAGGACCCAGCACCGGUAAUGAGCUUGUAUUAUGACUCAAUAGCAUCACUUUAUCACUUUAACGCAGAUGGAGGCCUAAAUAACCAUAGGGCAAUGGUUCUUCUUAGAUGCAGAAGGACACAUUUAUAUAAUCUUAGGGACCCCAUCUCUGAGGUCACUCAUAAUUUAUAUUAAUUCAUUAUUAUUGCCAUUGCCCCAAGAAUAGAUAAGGAUAAGACAUCCUGUAGCACAGGUAGCAGAGAUAUAAACUAUUCUUAUUCUUGUGUCUUGUCUAUAGGAAGGGAGUGUAUCCUGGUGUAUGACAGCAUAUAGUAGAGACCAGUGUCAAUUAGGGCCUGUGAACUGAGACAGGGUGACUGGCUAAGUCCACAACCCAUUAGAAACCCAGAAAUAAUCAAAUCAUGGAGAGAUUAGUCCAGGGACAAUAAAUAUGGAUUAGGGAAGAAUGUGUUAACUCAGCAGGCCAGGGUUUCUUCAACCCUGCACAUUCAAAGGUAAGGUUUGUUUUUAGGACUAGCUAGCUUCUGAGUUCUGGAAACAGUCUUACCGUGAAGAGUGUUUUUGUAUAUCUGAGGCCUUGGGUUUAUGGUGAAUGACUGACUUUAUAUGCCUGAGGCCCUGAGUCAUGCUGUAUUUAUCUGAACCAUGUGGUAUCAAUUUAACCAGAUACGUUUAUUCUAAGAUAUGAUUUAUGCUGAAAGCCUGCUUUUGUUCUAGAGGGAUCAUGGAAAGGAAGCUGAAUUUGCUGAGUUUUGCCACGUGGGCAUUGCAUGCCUAUGUGAUUAACCACCAAUAAAAACCUGGGACAUCAAAAAAUAAAUAAGCUGCUUUAAUUGCCAAGAAUUCACAUGUGGUUGUAUGCAGCAUUACUGGGAGAUUGAAGUGUAUCUGCAUGUGAUUCUACUGUGAUGGACACUUGUAAAUUUGUGCCUGGAGUCUCCUGGAAUUUGCCCUGAGAAUCUUUUUCCUUUGUUGAUAAGAAUCUGCAUCCUUUUGUUUUAAUAAACGAUAAACAUGAGUAUAAUUGCUUCUCUGAGUUCUGAGAGUUUUUUAAAUAAAUAAUCAAAGCUGAAAAGCAAUGGAGACCCCCACCAAAACAUCUUUACACAUUUCAAUUUUGUAUUGAAGUAAAUUUUAUUUUCUUUUUUAUACCUCCCGUAUAUAUUCUAUUUUUCUCAUUAUUAUUUAUUUAUCCCAAAUCUUUUAUCUGUGAUCAUUUUCCUUUGUUUGAAAUUUGUCUUUUGAGAUUUCUUUAGAAGGUGCUUUUGGAUGAUAAAUUUUCUGUUAUUCUUUGUCUAAAAUGUCAUUAUUUUGACUCAUUUAUAAAAGGAGUUUUUGUGUUUUAUAAACCUCUAAUGUAUAGAAGUGUGUCUAAACUCAUUGAGGAUAUUUUCCAAAUUUUUUCCUGCUUUUUAUUGCUGUUGAUAAGAAAUCAGUGUUGGUAUUUUGACAUUUAAGUUAUGUGUCAUUUUGUUGUGGUAGUUCUGAAGAUCUUCCCUCUGUUUUAUAUUCUCCUUCACCUUUCAUAAAUGUACUUUAUAUUUAUUUGGUAAUAAAUUUUGAACAUAUACUAUGCUAUAAAGAUAAUCUAGGCCCUUUGGUUACAUCUCGUAAAUAAAAUCAACAAAAUCUGUUUUGAGAUUAUAUUGUAAUAUAAGAUACCCAAAGUAAAUAGGAUAUGUACCAUAUGUUUGAAGGUGGUAAAUACGAUGAGAAAAAUAGAUCAGGUCAGGAAGAAUGAAGAUGAUUGAAGGUACAGGUUAUGAUAAAAACUUAGGUGUGCCGAGGAAUGAAUUCAUCUUAUGUAUCUUGAGUGUAAUGUCUUAUUUCUCCUGAAUCUGAGAAUUUGAUGUCUUUCAUUAGGUAUGUCAGUGAAUUUCACUAAUG